rnacentral:rRNA from 1 species
ACGCACGCUGGCGGCGCGCUUAACACAUGCAAGUCGAGCGAUGAAAUUUCGACAGAUCCCUUCGGGGUGAAGAUGAAAUGGAUUAGCGGCGGACGGGUGAGUAACACGUGAGUAACCUGCCUUUGACAUUGGGAUAGCCUCGGGAAACUGGGAUUAAUACCAAAUGACACUAACUGAUCACAUGAUCAAUUAGUCAAAGAAAUUCGGUCAAAGAUGGACUCGCGGCUGAUUAGCUAGUUGGUGAGGUAACGGCCCACCAAGGCGACGAUCAGUAGCCGGCCUGAGAGGGUGAUCGGCCACAUUGGAACUGAGACACGGUCCAAACUCCUACGGGAGGCAGCAGUGGGGAAUAUUGCACAAUGGGGGAAACCCUGAUGCAGCGACGCCGCGUGAGCGAAGAAGGCCUUCGGGUCGUAAAGCUCUUUUAUGAGGGAAGAUAAUGACGGUACCUCAAGAAAAAGCCCCGGCUAACUACGUG